AACCAGUACCGUGAGGGAAAGGCGAAAAGAACCCCUGUGAGGGGAGUGAAAUAGAACCUGAAACCGUGUACGUACAAGCAGUAGGAGCACCUUCGUGGUGUGACUGCGUACCUUUUGUAUAAUGGGUCAGCGACUUAUAUUCAGUGGCAAGGUUAACCGUAUAGGGGAGCCGUAGCGAAAGCGAGUCUUAACUGGGCGCUCAGUCUCUGGAUAUAGACCCGAAACCGGGUGAUCUAGCCAUGGGCAGGUUGAAGGUUGAGUAACAUCAACUGGAGGACCGAACCGACUAAUGUUGAAAAAUUAGCGGAUGACUUGUGGCUAGGGGUGAAAGGCCAAUCAAACUCGGAGAUAGCUGGUUCUCCCCGAAAGCUAUUUAGGUAGCGCCUCGGACGAAUACUACUGGGGGUAGAGCACUGUUAAGGCUAGGGGGUCAUCCCGACUUACCAACCCUUUGCAAACUCCGAAUACCAGUAAGUACUAUCCGGGAGACACACGGCGGGUGCUAACGUCCGUCGUGGAGAGGGAAACAACCCAGACCGCCAGCUAAGGUCCCAAAGUAUUGCUAAGUGGGAAACGAUGUGGGAAGGCUCAGACAGCUAGGAUGUUGGCUUAGAAGCAGCCAUCAUUUAAAGAAAGCGUAAUAGCUCACUAGUCGAGUCGGCCUGCGCGGAAGAUGUAACGGGGCUAAGCAAUACACCGAAGCUGCGGCAAUGUCUUUUAGACAUUGGGUAGGGGAGCGUUCUGUAAGCCGUUGAAGGUGAAUCGUAAGGUUUGCUGGAGGUAUCAGAAGUGCGAAUGCUGACAUGAGUAACGACAAAGGGGGUGAAAAACCUCCUCGCCGGAAGACCAAGGGUUCCUGUCCAACGUUAAUCGGGGCAGGGUGAGUCGACCCCUAAGGUGAGGCCGAAAGGCGUAAUCGAUGGGAAACGGGUUAAUAUUCCCGUACUUCUGACUAUUGCGAUGGGGGGACGGAGAAGGCUAGGUGGGCCAGGCGACGGUUGUCCUGGUUCAAGUGCGUAGGCUUGAGAGUUAGGUAAAUCCGGCUCUCUCUAAGGCUGAGACACGACGUCGAGCUACUACGGUAGUGAAGUCAUUGAUGCCAUGCUUCCAGGAAAAGCCUCUAAGCUUCAGAUAGUCAGGAAUCGUACCCCAAACCGACACAGGUGGUCGGGUAGAGAAUACCAAGGCGCUUGAGAGAACUCGGGUGAAGGAACUAGGCAAAAUGGUACCGUAACUUCGGGAGAAGGUACGCUCUUGAUGGUGAAGUCCCUCGCGGAUGGAGCUGACGAGAGUCGCAGAUACCAGGUGGCUGCAACUGUUUAUUAAAAACACAGCACUGUGCAAAAUCGCAAGAUGACGUAUACGGUGUGACGCCUGCCCGGUGCCGGAAGGUUAAUUGAUGGGGUUAGCGCAAGCGAAGCUCUUGAUCGAAGCCCCGGUAAACGGCGGCCGUAACUAUAACGGUCCUAAGGUAGCGAAAUUCCUUGUCGGGUAAGUUCCGACCUGCACGAAUGGCGUAAUGAUGGCCACGCUGUCUCCACCCGAGACUCAGUGAAAUUGAAAUCGCUGUGAAGAUGCAGUGUACCCGCGGCUAGACGGAAAGACCCCGUGAACCUUUACUACAGCUUGGCACUGAACAUUGAACCUACAUGUGUAGGAUAGGUGGGAGGCUAUGAAGACGUGACGCCAGUUGCGUUGGAGCCGUCCUUGAAAUACCACCCUUGUAUGU
rnacentral:rRNA from 1 species